AUUGAACGCUGGCGGAAUGCUUUACACAUGCAAGUCGAACGGCAGCACGGGUGCUUGCACCUGGUGGCGAGUGGCGAACGGGUGAGUAAUACAUCGGAACGUACCCUGACGUGGGGGAUAACGUAGCGAAAGUUACGCUAAUACCGCAUACGUCCUGAGGGAGAAAGCAGGGGAUCGUAAGACCUUGCGCGUUAGGAGCGGCCGAUGGCGGAUUAGCUAGUUGGUAGGGUAAAGGCCUACCAAGGCGACGAUCCGUAGCGGGCCUGAGAGGACGACCCGCCACACUGGAGCUGAGACACGGUCCAGACUCCUACGGGAGGCAGCAGUGGGGAAUUUUGGACAAUGGGCGAAAGCCUGAUCCAGCCAUUCCGCGUGAGUGAAGAAGGCCUUCGGGUUGUAAAGCUCUUUCGGCAGGGAAGAAACGGUUUUGGAUAAUACCCAGAACUAAUGACGGUACCUGAAGAAGAAGCACCGGCUAACUACGUGCCAGCCGCCGCGGUAA
rnacentral:rRNA from 1 species